UGGCGACGGGUGAGUAACGCGUGGGGUAACCUGCCCUGUACAGGGGGAUAACAGUUAGAAAUGACUGCUAACACCGCAUAAGCGCACGGUAAGGCAUCUUAGUGUGUGAAAAUAUUAAUAGGUACAGGAUGGGCCCGCGUCUGAUUAGCCAGUUGGCAGGGUAACGGCCUACCAAAGCGACGAUCAGUAGCCGGCUUGAGAGAGUGAACGGCCACAUUGGGACUGAGACACGGCCCAAACUCCUACGGAAGGCAGCAG
rnacentral:rRNA from 1 species